CGUGGUGGCUAACGCCUGUAAUCCCAGCACUUUGGGAGGCCAACGUGGGCAGAUCACGAGGUCAGGAGAUCGAGACCAUCCUGACCAACAUGGUGAAACCCCAUCUCUACUACAAAUACAAAAAUUAGCUGGGCGUGGUGUCAUGCACCUGUAGUCCCAGCUACUCUGGAGGCUGAGGCAGGAGAAUCGCUUGAACCCAGGAGGCGGAGGUUGCAGUGAGCCAAGACUGUGCCACUGCAUUCCAGUCUGGUGACAGAGCAAGACUCCGUCUCAAAAAAAAAAAAAAGUUUUAUGCCCACAAAUUUGAUAACUUAGAUGAAAUAGACCAAUUCCUUGAGAGAGACAAUCUACCAAAACUCACCAAAAGAGAAAGAUAAUCUUAAUAGACCUAUAUCUACUUUUAAAAUUGAAUCAAUAAUCUUCCAAAAAAGAAAGCAUCAAGCCCAAGUGUUUUCACUGGCGAAUUCUAAGAACUAAUACCACUUCUCUACAAUCUCUUCCAGAAAAUAGAAGCGGAGGGAAUAUUUCCUUAGUUCUGUGAAACCAGCAUUAUUCUAAUACAGAAACAAAAGAUACUACAAGAGGGGAAAACUACAGACCAAUAUAUCUACCAUGUACAAAAUGUAUCUUUUUUCUAUCUUUUGUAUUGGAGAUAUAAAAAUUCUGGACAACAUAUUAGCACACGAAAUCUGCUGUGGUUUGAAUGUUACUGUCCAAAAUUCAUGUUGAAAUGUCCAAUGCAAGAGUAUUAAGAGGUGGGGGUUUUGCAGCCUUCAGCGUUGUUCCGUUCUGCCCCUUCAGCCAUGUAAGGACACAGUGUUCUUCCCCUCUGAAGGUUGAGGCAAUGAAACACCAUCUCGGAAGCGGAAAGUAGCCCUCACCAGAAAACUGAACCUGCUGGUGCCUUGAUCUUGGACUACCUAGCUCCAGAGCUGUGAACACAUUUCUGUUCUUUUAUAUUACCCAGUCUCAAGUAUUUUGUUAUAGCAGCACAUAUGAACUUAAACAGAAUUCAACAAUGUAUAAAAAGAAUUACAUGCUAUGACAAAGUGAGAUUUAUCCCAGGUAUGCAAGGCUGGUUUGACAGGAAAAUCAGUCACUAUAGUCCAUUACAUCAAUAGACUAACUAAGAAAAAUCAUAUCAAUGCAGAAAAAGUAUUUCACUCAAUAGAUGCAGAAAAAGUAUUUCACAAAAUCAAUCAUCCAUUCACCAUAAAAACUCACAGCAAACUAGGAAUAGAGGGGAAUAUCCUCAACUGGAUAAAGAAUAUUUGCAAAAAACCUAUAACCAACAUCAUAAUUAAUGGUGAGAAACUAUAUGCUUUCCCCCUCGGAUCAGAAACAAGAAUGUCUCCUCUCACUACUUCUAGUCAACAUUGCAGGAGGUUCUAGCUAAUACAAUAUGACAAGAAAAGAAAAGGCAUCCAGAUUGGGAAGGACGAAAUAAAACUGUCUUUGUUCACAGAUGACAUAAUUAUUUAUAUAAAGAAAUCCCAAAGAACCAACAAAAAGUGAUCAUAAGAAGGUUGCAGAGAUGGUCAUAAAGAAAUUCCCUGACCUAUCUGGCUUGACAGUAGGUCAUAAGACCCCCAUUCCAGGAUCCUGUUCCAUACCUGAGAGGAAGAAAUGCUACAACAGAGACACCAAGAAGAACCUCAACAGACAGGUCUUGCUGGGCUUCCUCCUCUCGGUCUACUACAUUAGAUCACACCCUUUGCCACAGUUGUACAUGACUGUCCACUCUUCAUUGCAUCGAAGCAUACAAAUGGACAGUUUUUCCUAUAUCUCUGGGUCUUCAUUUUGAAGGCUCCCAUGUCAUGUAAAACCAUGAUUAAAUAAACUUGUUACACUUUUCUCUUGUUAACCGUCUCUUUUGUUAUAGAAGUGUCUGCUGCGACCCUUAUGAUGGGAAGAAAAGGUAUCACACCCUUUUCACCCCUACACAGAUCAUAGGGUCUGUAUCAUAACUACUAAGCUCUGCCAUUAUAGCAUGAAAGCAUAAAUAUGUAAAAGAAUGAGCAUAACUGUGGUCCAAAAAA
rnacentral:lncRNA from 10 species